GGAAGAGGACUCAGAAAAUCAAGAAGCUCUUAGGAAAAAGCUUUCAAAGCCUUCUCAGGUGGGCAGUGGUCAGAAACUGGGGUCAAGGAACCUAAUUGAUGAGACAAGUGAUAUAGAAGAUUUACUCAAAGAGGAAGAAGAUUACAAGGAAGAAAAGAAUGAUCCCACAGAAACCUCAGGUGCCCUCAAGUGGAAGGAAGACCUUUCCAGAAAGGCAGCUGAGGCUUUUGUGAGGCAGCAGCAAGCAGCUCCAAACCUCCGAAAGCUUAUUUAUGGGACAGUGACAGAAGAUAAUGAAGAAGAUGAUGAUACCCGAGAAGAACUUGGAGGGUUAUUUCGUGUCACCCAGCCUGACAGAGAGUGUAAGCACAAGGCCGACUCUUUGGACUGCUCCAGAUUUCUUGUGGAGGCGCCCCACGACUGGGAUUUAGAGGAGGUAAGGGGGUGGUAUGUUUGAUUUAUCAGAUAAUUAGAGACUAUUGUUCUAGAAUAAGAUUGUCUUAUGUCAAUAUUGCUUACCUGUUGUUGGCUUCUUAUAUUCAUAGGAUGACAGGUCAUCUAGAUAUUGUAAUGGGCACUUCAUCCGUCCUAAGCAAUAACACAAUCUGAGUUUAGUUAGACCAUGUGCACAGCCCACGGAGGACAGGCUCAGUUUCCAGUGUGGACAGUAGUGCGAAUCUUUAUUUUGAAGCAUCACACAUAAGUUUUUAUACAUCUGAUGUAUUUUGCAUCUCUUCACUAGGACAUACGUAGCAUCCCUGAGUUAACAUUUAUAGUUUCUGCUAUUUGUAAGCAUACAGAAAUCUGAUACCUAUAAAUGUUCUUCCUGUAGCCCACCACUUUGUAGUCACACUGAAACUUGCCACAGCUUACCCUCCUCUUACUCUUAGAUCUUUUCUUUCUCUGUCUCUUUUUUUUUUUUUGGUGACACAGUCUUGGACUGCA